rnacentral:rRNA from 1 species
CCGGGGUUUCUUUACCAGAUACUGUCAUUAUCAUCUCUGGCGAAAGAGCCUUACGACCCUAAGGCCUUCGUCACUCACGCGGCAUGGCUAGAUCAGGCUUGCGCCCAUUGUCUAAGAUUCCCCA